AUUGAACGCUGGCGGCAGGCCUAACACAUGCAAGUCGAGCGGAUGAAGGGAGCUUGCUCCUGGAUUCAGCGGCGGACGGGUGAGUAAUGCCUAGGAAUCUGCCUGGUAGUGGGGGAUAACGUCCGGAAACGGGCGCUAAUACCGCAUACGUCCUGAGGGAGCAAGUGGGGGAUCUUCGGACCUCACGCUAUCAGAUGAGCCUAGGUCGGAUUAGCUAGUUGGUGGGGUAAAGGCCUACCAAGGCGACGAUCCGUAACUGGUCUGAGAGGAUGAUCAGUCACACUGGAACUGAGACACGGUCCAGACUCCUACGGGAGGCAGCAGUGGGGAAUAUUGGACAAUGGGCGAAAGCCUGAUCCAGCCAAGCCGCGUGUGUGAAGAAGGUCUUCGGAUUGUAGAGCACUUUAAGUUGGGAGGAAGGGCAGUAAGUUAAUACCUUGCUGUUUUGACGUUACCAACAGAAUAAGCACCGGCUAACCUCGUG
rnacentral:rRNA from 1 species